rnacentral:rRNA from 1 species
UACAGAGGGGGCAAGCGUUGUUCGGAAUUACUGGGCGUAAAGGGCGCGUAGGCGCCUUCUAAGUCGAACGUGAAAUCCCCGGGCUCAACCCGGGAACUGCGUCCGAUACUGGAAGGCUUGAAUCCGGGAGAGGGAUGUGGAAUUCCAGGUGUAGCGGUGAAAUGCGUAGAUAUCUGGAGGAACACCGGUGGCGAAGGCGACAUCCUGGACCGGUAUUGACGCUGAGGUGCGAAAGCGUGGGGAGCAAACAGG